rnacentral:rRNA from 1 species
UACGUAGGUGGCAAGCGUUGUCCGGAAUUAUUGGGCGUAAAGCGCGCGCAGGCGGUCCUUUAAGUCUGAUGUGAAAGCCCACGGCUCAACCGUGGAGGGUCAUUGGAAACUGGGGGACUUGAGUGCAGGAGAGAAGAGUGGAAUUCCACGUGUAGCGGUGAAAUGCGCAGAUAUCAGGAGGAACACCGGUGGCGAAGGCGGGUCUCUGGACGAGUUCCUGACACUGAGACACGAAGGCCCAGGGGAGCAAACGGG